rnacentral:rRNA from 1 species
CCCCAGUAAACGGCGGCCGUAACUAUAACGGUCCUAAGGUAGCGAAAUUCCUUGUCGGGUAAGUUCCGACCCGCACGAAAGGCGUAACGAUUUGGGCACUGUCUCAACGAGAGACUCGGUGAAAUCAUAGUACCGGUGAAGAUGCCGGUUACCCGCGACAGGACGGAAAGACCCCGUGGAGCUUUACUGUAGCCUGAUAUUGAAAUUCGGUACAGUUUGUACAGGAUAGGUAGGAGCCUUAGAAGCGUGAGCGCUAGCUUACGUGGAGGCAUUGGUGGGAUACUACCCUAAUUGUAUUGGAUUUCUAACCCGCAGCACUUAUCGUGCUGGGAGACAGUGUCAGGCGGGCAGUUUGACUGGGGCGGUCGCCUCCUAAAGAGUAACGGAGGCGCUCAAAGGUUCCCUCAGAAUGGUUGGAAAUCAUUCAUAGAGUGUAAAGGCAUAAGGGAGCUUGACUGCGAGACCUACAAGUCGAGCAGGGUCGAAAGACGGACUUAGUGAUCCGGUGGUUCCGCAUGGAAGGGCCAUCGCUCAACGGAUAAAAGCUACCCCGGGGAUAACAGGCUUAUCUCCCCCAAGAGUUCACAUCGACGGGGAGGUUUGGCACCUCGAUGUCGGCUCAUCGCAUCCUGGGGCUGUAGUCGGUCCCAAGGGUUGGGCUGUUCGCCCAUUAAAGCGGUACGCGAGCUGGGUUCAGAACGUCGUGAGACAGUUCGGUCCCUAUCCGUCGUGGGCGUAGGAAAUUUGAGAGGAGCUGUCCUUAGUACGAGAGGACCGGGAUGGACAUACCUCUGGUGUACCAGUUGUCGUGCCAACGGCAUAGCUGGGUAGCUAUGUAUGGACGGGAUAAGUGCUGAAAGCAUCUAA